rnacentral:rRNA from 1 species
UACAGAGAGUGCAAGCGUUAAUCGGAAUUACUGGGCGUAAAGCGCGCGUAGGUGGAUAAAUAAGUCGAAUGUGAAAGCCCUGGGCUUAACCUAGGAAUUGCAUCCGAUACUGCUUAUCUAGAGUAUGGUAGAGGGAAGUGGAAUUUCCGGUGUAGCGGUGAAAUGCGUAGAUAUCGGAAGGAACACCAGUGGCGAAGGCGGCUUCCUGGACUAAUACUGACACUGAGGUGCGAAAGCGUGGGGAGCAAACAGG